rnacentral:lncRNA from 1 species
UAGGAGGUAGGGACAUAAAGCUUUCCUGAACUGGGCACAGUGGCACAUGCCUGUAAUCCCAACAGCUGGGGAGGCUGAGGUAUGAGGAUCAAAGUUCAAAGCUUCAAAGAAUCAGCAGUUUAUCGAGGCACUAAACACUUAGGAAGAGCCUGUCUCAAAAUUUAAAAAAAAAAAAAGGCAGGGCCAGGGAUCUAACUCAGUGGUAAAGUGCCUUUGGGUUCAAUCCUUGGGAGCCAAGGAAAAAUGUAGGGUAGGGCUGGGAAUGUGUCUUGGUUGUAGAGAAUCCCCGGUACCACAAAAGGGAAAAUAAAAAAAAAAGAACUACAUCUAUUGCUUGAUGUCUCUGAAAUGGGAGAAAGAUGUCCUGAUGAUAGAAAUGGAAGCUGAAAUGCUCCUCUCCCCUGAUUGUAAGCCUAGGAUCAUAGCUACCAGUAUAGUUUGCCUUGCCAGGAGAGUGCUACAGGGUCCCUGGUGUCAUAUGUGUCAAUCUUUUUUUUUUUUAAGCCAAUGAAUGGAUUCUGGCUGGUUAAAAGCAGAAAACUAUCUAACUAUCAGAACUACUGAGAAUGCUGGAGAGAAGAUCCAAAUUGGGGGGAAGAAGAUAGGGAUAAAGUCUAG